rfam:Enterobacteria phage HK630, complete genome.
UGAAGGAUACGGAAGCAGAAAAACUGUUCCGGAUCCGGGAGGCGGAAGAAACAAAAAAAAGCCUGAUGCAGGUAGCCAGUGAGCAUAUUGCGCCGCUUCAGGAUGCUGCAGAUCUGGAAAUUGCAACGGAGGAAGAAACCUCGUUGCUGGAAGCCUGGAAGAAGUAUCGGGUGUUGCUGAACCGUGUUGAUACAUCAAC